AGACCGAUAGCGAACAAGUACCGUGAGGGAAAGAUGAAAAGCACUUUGGAAAGAGAGUUAAACAGUACGUGAAAUUGUUGAAAGGGAAACGAUUGAAGUCAGUCAUGCUCUUGGGACUUACCUCCCUUGAGUGGGGUCAACAUCAGUUUUGAUCGAUGGAUAAAGGCACGGGGAAGGUAGCACUCUCGGGUGAACUUAUAGCCUCGCGUCAUAUACAUUGAUUGGGACUGAGGAACGCAGCAUGCCUUAUGGCCGGGAUUCGUCCACGUACAUGCUUAGGAUGUUGACAUAAUGGCUUUAAACGACCCGUCUUGAAACACGGACCAAG
rnacentral:rRNA from 2 species